rnacentral:lncRNA from 1 species
GUGGAAACUGACAAGCUGAUUCUAAAAUGCAUAUAGUAACACAGAAGUCCAAAACGGCCGGGAUACUCUUAAAGAAGCCCCAAGCUGGGACUCCUUACUCUACAAGAUGAGGAAACAAAGAAGAGAACCACGACUUUGAUCCAGGCAGCUCUCUUGGACUACAAAUCCGUAAUUCUAUCAUGCUAGUUGUUUUUAUCUUUGAAGAAAUGCUUCAAUUAAACUUUAAUUUCUAAUAAGAUUAAUUUUUAUGAUGAUUUCUAACAAUGAUGGGCAUCUUCCUCCCGCCCCUUUAUUUAUUUAUUUAUUUAUUUUUAGAAAGAUUUU